UCCAGACUCCUACGGGAGGCAGCAGUGGGGAAUAUUGCACAAUGGGGGAAACCCUGAUGCAGCAACGCCGCGUGAGUGAAGAAGUAUUUCGGUAUGUAAAGCUCUAUCAGCAGGGAAGAAAAUGACGGUACCUGACUAAGAAGCCCCGGCUAACUACGUGCCAGCAGCCGCGGUAAUACGUAGGGGGCAAGCGUUAUCCGGAUUUACUGGGUGUAAAGGGAGCGUAGACGGCAUGGCAAGUCAGAUGUGAAAGCCCGGGGCUCAACCCCGGGACUGCAUUUGAAACUGUCAGGCUGGAGUGCAGGAGAGGUAAGUGGAAUUCCUAGUGUAGCGGUGAAAUGCGUAGAUAUUAGGAGGAACACCAGUGGCGAAGGUGGCUUACUGGACUGUAACUGACGUUGAGGCUCGAAAGCGUGGGGAGCAAACAGGAUUAGAUACCCCCGUAG
rnacentral:rRNA from 1 species